rnacentral:rRNA from 1 species
UUUGAUUCCUGGCUCAGGAUGAACGCUGGCGGCGUGCCUAAUACAUGCAAGUCGAACGCGCAGCGAGAGGUGCUUGCACCUUUCAAGCGAGUGGCGAACGGGUGAGUAACACGUGGAUAACCUGCCUCAAGGCUGGGGAUAACAUUUGGAAACAGAUGCUAAUACCGAAUAAAACUUAGUAUCGCAUGAUAUCAAGUUAAAAGGCGCUACGGCGUCACCUAGAGAUGGAUCCGCGGUGCAUUAGUUAGUUGGUGGGGUAAAGGCUUACCAAGACGAUGAUGCAUAGCCGAGUUGAGAGACUGAUCGGCCACAUUGGGACUGAGACACGGCCCAAACUCCUACGGGAGGCUGCAGUAGGGAAUCUUCCACAAUGGGCGCAAGCCUGAUGGAGCAACGCCGCGUGUGUGAUGAAGGCUUUCGGGUCGUAAAGCACUGUUGUAUGGGAAGAAAUGCUAAAAUAGGGAAUGAUUUUAGUUUGACGGUACCAUACCAGAAAGGGACGGCUAAAUACGUGCCAGCAGCCGCGGUAAUACGUAUGUCCCGAGCGUUAUCCGGAUUUAUUGGGCGUAAAGCGAGCGCAGACGGUUGAUUAAGUCUGAUGUGAAAGCCCGGAGCUCAACUCCGGAAUGGCAUUGGAAACUGGUUAACUCGAGUGUUGUAGAGGUAAGUGGAACUCCAUGUGUAGCGGUGGAAUGCGUAGAUAUAUGGAAGAACACCAGUGGCGAAGGCGGCUUACUGGACAACAACUGACGUGAGGCUCGAAAGU